rnacentral:rRNA from 1 species
CCCUUAGAUGUUCUGGGCCGCACGCGUGCUACACUGAGUAAUUCAAUGGGUAAGGGAACGCUAGAGCAUUACCUAAUCUUGAAAUUUGCUCGUGAUGGGAGUCGACGGUUGCAAUUUUCCGUCGUGAACGAGGAAUACCUUGUAGGCGCAUGUCAUCAUCAUGCGCCGAAUACGUCCCUGCCCUUUGUACACACCGCCCGUCGCUCCUACCGAUUGAGUGAUCCGGUGAGGCUCUGGGACCUGGACGGAAAGAGCGUUUCGCUUGUUCUGUUUGGGAAACUUGGUCGAACCUUAUCAUUUAGAGGAAGGAGAAGUCGUAACA